UCUAUCUCUGGAAGCAUUCAAAGUGAGACUUCUAUGUCACAUGUGUAUUAGUAGGUGGCAGAGGGAUGGGAGUCUAUCUCUAAGCUCAGUGUUCUUUCCUAUGAACAUCUAAAUGAUUAGUAAUCUAACAUU